AGCAUCACCAGGCUCCCUGCUGUCCUACGGGCCCCAGCCCCGCCAAACACCUCGCCCCUUCCACCGAAUCUCGCUCUCUGGAUCCUAACCCUUCCCUGAGGCGGGGGCGGGCAACACUCUCGGCGGCUGGACUGCGACUCCAGAGGCCGUGCGUCCCCCUCACCAGGCCCCGCCUGGGCCUCUCGGCGCGGCUGCCCUCCAAGGCCCCUCUGGCCCAGCCGUCCUUACGCAGAAGAGUAGGGCAACACGAACCCAGAGCCCAGCACUUACUCGGGAAGGUAGGUGGAGGAGAAGGAGCUCCACUUGUGUAGCGCAUAGGGCAGAAGCCGGCACUCAGGCGCCGCAGCGACAGCCCCGCCAGCCGCCAUCUUGUCAGCACCGUAGCGGCCGCCACCGACCGCCAGCCGCGCCGGGAGGGGAGAAGGGGCGUGGCCUGCUCUUAAAGGGGCCGCGGUCCGCCUGGGCCGUCGGCUCUCCAGGUCUCGCGAAGUUACGCCUGUGUGAAGCCGGGGGACGCGCGCGGGUCCGCGGUUCACUCUGGGGGUCUCCGCCACUGAACCCUCCUGAAUGACUGACUGGCGGAAACUGGGACUGGAGUGUGAGCACCUGAGGGGCUCUCCAGUGGGGCUUGGAGAGGAAUGGCUCAAAUGACUUUUCUUGAAAGCUGAGAGGCACAGAGAGACGGGAAAAGGAAGUGCUCGUGUGUCCUCUCACCCUGUUCAGUUUUCAGUCUGUGGUGCCCUUCCUUGUAAGCAUCUGCUGUGAGCCAGCUUAUAUCCACCUUGCGCAAUUGGUUUGCCCAGGAACGAUAUUCAGCCACAGACCAGAAAAAUCCUGAAGGAGCUGGGAAGCUGGGUGUCGUCAUUCUUCCAGCUGCCACUGCAGUACCGAAGUACUCUUCUCUCAUUGUCUAAGAGGUUCUACCCCUGGAAGCCUGCACCACAUCUUCACCUCCACCUGACCGAUGGAAAAACUCAAGCAUAGAGUUUUUUAGUGAAUGACCAAAUCCAUCCAAGGACAUCAACUGAAGUAUGUCUUCAAAGAAACACCAGAUGUUGGAAUCAGGUCAAAGUAUUUCUCAAAUGUAAAUUUUCAUAGAGACUAUUACCAUGUUGAUCAUUUUUAUUUACUUUCUUCCUGUAUAUUUCCAAAUAAGUUCAAAGUGAUCUCCUUCUCCCCCCACUUCCACAACCAAUUUUUAGCAAUGCCACUUACUAAAUAUGUAGUACAAAGUUUGAGAACCUCUGUCUUUGGCCUAAUUUUACCCAAUUUAUUGUCAGAGUCACUGCUCUCAUAGCCCCCAAAGAUAACCAGCCUUACAGUGGGAUUCUCUGAUGAGCACAUUUCUGUGGUUGAGAACUUUUUCCCCUAAAGUCUUAGGAGACUGGCAGGCAGGAAACUGCCUAUAACUGACAGCUGAGCUCUCCUCCUCCCUUUGGAAUUUCUCCUGAGAAGUCAGCCUCCAGAAACCAGGCAGUGCAAUUGUAGCUGGGACAUCCACUUUGUAAGGUUUCCAUUUCAACUUUCCCACCUUAUCCAUUAGGUCCACAAUUAAAAUGAUUUUAGUGCUUAGAGUUGUGAACAGUAGUGAAUCAGCAUUUCAAAGAGAAUUGGUAACAGGUGAUGGUGGUAUAAAUGUCACAUUCUAGAGAUCCUACAUUCAUUUAAAAAACAAACCUAAAUGCUUUUUUCAAAAUCCCCUGCACUACUCAGUCUGUCGUCUUCUCUUUCUUUGUCCCUGUUUCUCCUCCCCUUCCUCUGUCUUCCUGCCUAGCUAUCUCCUUCACCUGUUCUCCCACCUUAUUACUGUCUUUCUGACUUGUUCCUCUUACCCCUGUUUAUCUGUCUUGACCCUCUGCAUCUUCCUGUUCCUUCUGCAUCUGAUUCCAUUUCUUUCACUCUGUAUUGUCUCCCCUUACCCACAACACACACCUCUUGCCUCUAUUUCACCGUCUUUCCCACUUGCUGCUCCUUCGUUGACGAUGAUAUAGAACAAAACCAUUGUCAGAUAUUUAUAAUUAUUAAAUAAGGUAUUUUAAUUUUAAAGCAGGUAAGUUCUGAAAAUGCUAUAUUUUUCUCUCCAAGGAGAAGAAAACACUUGCUCAUGGUUAGCACUCCUCACAUACUAACUAUAAUAAUAUUUUUCUUAUAACUUCAUGUGUUGGCCCCAGAUUAUUUUUUUCAUGUAGUUCGGUGACCCUCAAUAGAAAAAUGGUUCUCUGUACUUCAAUAAUCUUGACAACAGCAGCUGACAUCAAUGUAGAAAGAAAAGCAAGCUAAAGACAGUAGUUGAGUGUAUGCCUCCUGAAUUGCAUAUUCAGUUGCAAAAUCAUCAUCAUUAUUAUUAUAAUUGCAGAGGGGAGGCAUUUAAAUAAUUGUUCAAAGUGUCUUCUUGAGGAAAUAACUAAAUCAGGGCCAGCUGUCACAAACCAACCUACAAUAAUAAUCCUGUAUGUGCAUCUUCAGUAUUCAUGGCAACUCUUCAAUAACAAAUUUAAGCCUUCAUCUAAUGUCCUUAAGCAACCUAGAAAAUAACAAACAAACCUUGAUCAGACCCAGUGGCUCACUUGGGACUGACCUGUGUUUUUAAGCAGUGUCCCAGAACAACCUUAGAAUCAUACACCACAGAAACAGAAAUUGCACCAUCAAUUCAAUGGCAAA